rnacentral:tRNA from 1 species
GCAAUGGCGGUUCAAUGGUAGAACUCUUGCCUUCCACGUGGGAGACUUGGGUUUGAUUCCCUGCCAGUGUA